AUUGAACGCUGGCGGCAGGCCUAACACAUGCAAGUCGAACGAGUGGCGGACGGGUGAGUAAUGUCUGGGAAACUGCCCGAUGGAGGGGGAUAACUACUGGAAACGGUAGCUAAUACCGCAUACCAUCGGAUGUGCCCAGACGGGAUUAGCUAGUAGGUGGGGUAACGGCGCACCUGGGCGACGAGCCCUAGCUGGUCUGAGCGGAUGACGAGCGACACUGGAGCUGAGACACGGUCCCGACGCCGACGGGAGGCAGCAGGGGGGAAUAUUGCACAAUGGGCGCAAGCCUGAUGCAACCAUGGCGCGUGUAUGAAGAAGGCCUUCGGGUUGAAAAGUACUUUCAGCGAGGAGGCGUUACUCGCAGAAGAAGCACCGGCUAACUCCGUGCCAGCCGCCGCGGUAAUAC
rnacentral:rRNA from 1 species